rnacentral:rRNA from 1 species
UACGAAGGGUGCAAGCGUUACUCGGAAUUACUGGGCGUAAAGCGUGCGUAGGUGGUUUUUUAAGUCCGUUGUGAAAGCCCUGGGCUCAACCUGGGAAUGGCAGUGGAUACUGGAAAGCUAGAGUGCGGUAGAGGGUAGUGGAAUUCCCGGUGUGGCAGUGAAAUGCGUAGAGAUCGGGAGGAACACCAGUGGCGAAGGCGGCUACCUGGACCAGCACUGACACUGAGGCACGAAAGCAUGGGGAGCAAACAGG